CUCCCUCGGUCUCGCCUCUCCUAUCGCUCGAUCCUCUCUAGGGUUCGCCGCCCGCCGCCGUCCCUCGCCGUCCUGCUCCGCUGUCGCCCCUCCCUCCACCUACCUCGCCCCUGCUCUAGGGUUCGCCUCCCGCCGCCCUGCUCCGCUGUUGCCCGUCCUUCCGCCUGCCUUGCCCCCUCCCCUACACUCACCCCUGCCCGAUCUGGAUGAGGCGUUGCCUCCCGUUCCUCUCAUCGCGUCCCUUGUGCCAGCCAUGGAAGAGGGGAGGAAGAAGGGGAGGGAGAGCAAAGAGGACCGCGGUGGCGAUGUGCCAACGUUGGCAGGACGAAGAUGUGUGAAUCAAGGAGUCCCUCCAUCUACCCGCGACCCUAGAAUAGCCGCUACCGCUGUGACCUUUCUCCAUGCCGUGAGCUUCGAGGAGUCUGGCGGCGCCAUCACGCCGGCCUCUGUCCAAGAGGUCAUCGCGCUCAACAGGCCCUCACUCCUCGGCUCCGCCUGCGGAGGUCGUCGACGCCAUCGCAGGGUGCCGCUUUGAAGCCGGGGUUGAAGCUGCCACCGAGGAGGCCAUCUUGACGCAGAUGUUGCAGGCACUCCUGACGUUCAUGCGCUCCCCUGCGAUUAGUGACCAACACAUCUGCUCUGUCGUGAGCAUGUGCUUCGUGUCAUACAGGUCGCGGCCAAAGGCGAGCUCGUGCAGCGGUUCAGUUUUGUCUCAUUGCCAAUAUAUCUGCAUAAGGUACAUCUAAGGAGGCCUUCUCCGACAAGGAGGCUGCGGGUCAAGGUCGUCGGCAGCGACGAUGCCGCCAGCCGCAAGCGCCGCCGCGAGGACGACAAAAGAGAAGUUUAGAUCUUUUUGGACAGUUAUUGCAGCCAACAGCCAACAUUCUAAAUGAGUAUAAAACAAUGCUAUGAGGUAAUAUAUCCCUCUGUGAUAAUAGUUUAACAUAUGGGCUACUCGUGGUUGCAUGCUAAAUUAUUGCUGGUAUCAACUUUAUUAUUAGUUUAGUGAUUAUUACAAGCAUCUCAAUUUUUCAGUCAAAGGCAUCUAAAAUGUUUCUUGAUUCACGCAUGUAUAUUUCAAAGAUGAAUGCAGCCUUGAGUAAAUGAAUAUUGCAAAGCUUAAUACCAGUCCCAAAAACUUGCUCUGGCCAGAGAAAGAGGCCAAUAUCCGGCGUGGUCUGUUCAAUCUACUACAUGUAAUUUGGUGUUCUAUUGUGCGCACCAUCAGUUUUUGUUGUUGUAUAAGUUCUACUUCAAAUAUGUGUAGCUAGACCCCGUCGAAGUGAUCUUUUUCUUUCUCGUCUCAUGUAACUGAAGAAAAUGAGAGAAGGUAUUGGACACUGGUCAUGUAUGUAGUCGGCAGAGCUGUUUUAUGCAAUGCCUAUUGUCACAAUAGCAUAUAUGUCUAUACGGGGAGGAGACCAAGAGAGUACAUCAGAAGCCAUUGAUUUGCCAUGGAAUAUUAAAAACUUUCAGAUUACCUGUUCAUAUGAUGGUAUCCACAAGAAACUUCAUAUCCUGUAUGUUUUAGCAUGCUCCACACAAAUAUAUUAAUUAAUUUGUGUAGGUAUGCUUCUCCUUCUUUCAGUUCCUGAAUAAUUAUACCACCAUCUGUGUGGAGUAUCUUGUAGUGCUCCACACAAAUAGAUAAAUUAUUUUUUAUGAGUAUGCUUCUCCUUUUAUCAGCUCCUGAAGAAUUAUACUGAUGUCGUGUGCUUUAUUUGCAAGAUUUAUAUGACUUAAACAAGAACUUGUUAAAUAAUAUGAGUGCAUAUAAGUAGAUUGAUCUUGCCUCUUAUGUAGUCUGGUAGAUUUGGAAAGAAAGGAAUUGCAGAUUUUGUCUGGACAAAGAGAUGAAGCCAGAAAGGUAAAUGUCUCAAGUUCUACAGAAUGUUCGCCUCAUAUUGGAGGCAUUUGAAACAAGCCUUUGCUACUGUACAUCCAAGCUGGGUUCUUGAUGUUAAUUUCAUUUAUACGCAUAGUAAUAAAUUUUGCCGCUGGCUUCCUAAGCAUAUACUUUGUUCCUGGCUAGGAAUAAUUUCCGAACAGUUUUACAAAUGGUGAAAAAGAAAGGGUUUUGUUUACUAUUUUUUAUGACCGUGGACUCAUGAGUUCAUAACAUAUAAUGUAUUAUUUGUGUUCAUUCCUUUAAUGUGGAUUAUAACAUGAUCUACCUUUGCAUAAACAUCGAUGACUACUUUUGGUUCAUAUUCAUGCAUCCACUUCUCGAUAUUGAGAUUUUUCACAUAUACUGAACUUGUCUUAGUCAGCCCAACUCAGCUGUAUGUGUGACAUUUAUAAGAUGACUCCGUAAAAUUCAUAGAAGACACUAUUCUUUUAUUCUGUUCUUUUGUUUCUUCCAGAUUUUGCUCUCCUCGCUUAUAUUUCGAUAUUGUUAAUUUGAUUAGAUGACUCGGUCGAUGAUGUUGGGCAUGUCCAUGGUAUCCAUUAAAAAACUUAAAAAAAAAGUCUUGCACCGGAAUAAAAUUAGAUAGCACACCACUUAUGAGUCGAAACAUAUGCAAGCCAAGCCGGUACCAUAAAAUUAGUAGAUUAGGUCCAUUCCAGCCGCUAAUUCUUUGUGCCAAUGCUAAGUAUGUGAUGAUCUUCACAAAAAAUCAAGUUUGUAUAGAGUGACCAAUGCUAAGUAUGUGAUAAGCUUGCACUGACUUUUAGUUACAUCUGAUGAUCUUUCCACAAAAAAUGUAUUAUAGAGUGUAAUAUUUACAGUGUGGGGAUGUUGGUGGCCAAGAAAGUUUAUGCCCUUGUGAAGACAUUACUAUGAAGUCCUAAGUUAUCCUGUAAAAAGGAUUCUUAUGAUACGCAUGUAAAUCAACUUCUGAACUUUUAUGUAGAUAUUUAAGUGCCAAUACCAUCUUUUGGUAUAACACAAAAAAAAUCAAGU